rnacentral:rRNA from 2 species
AUGACAAAGAAGAGUUUGAUCCUGGCUCAGGAUGAACGCUAGCGAUAGGCUUAACACAUGCAAGUCGA